GGGCCCGCACAAGCGGAGGAACAUGUGGUUUAAUUCGAUGAUACGCGAGGAACCUUACCCGGGCUUGAAUUGCAUGGGACAGCGCCAGAGAGGGCGUUUUCUUCGGACCCAUGUGAAGGUGCUGCAUGGUUGUCGUCAGCUCGUGCCGUGAGGUGUCGGCUUAAGUGCCAUAACGAGCGCAACCCUUAUCUUCGGUUGCCAUCAGGUAAUGCUGGGCACUCCGGAGACACUGCCAUCGCAAGAUGAGAGGAAGGUGGGGAUGACGUCAAAUCAGCACGGCCCUUACGUCCGGGGCUACACACGUGUUACAAUGGGACAUACAGAGGGCAGCGACAGGGCGACUUGGAGCAAAUCCCGAAAGUGUCCCCCAGUUCGGACUGGAGUCUGCAACCCGACUCCACGAAGCUGGAUUCGCUAGUAAUCGCGCAUCAGCCAUGGCGCGGUGAAUACGUUCCCGGGCCUU
rnacentral:rRNA from 1 species